GAUGAACGCUGGCGGCGUGCCUAAUACAUGCAAGUCGAGCGAACAGACGAGGAGCUUGCUCCUCUGACGUUAGCGGCGGACGGGUGAGUAACACGUGGAUAACCUACCUAUAAGACUGGGAUAACUUCGGGAAACCGGCGCUAAUACCGGAUAAUAUAUUGAACCGCAUGGUUCAAUAGUGAAAGACGGUUUUGCUGUCACUUAUAGAUGGAUCCGCGCCGCAUUAGCUAGUUGGUAAGGUAACGGCUUACCAAGGCAACGAUGCGUAGCCGACCUGAGAGGGGGAUCGGCCACACUGGAACUGAGACACGGUCCAGACUCCUACGGGGGGCAGCAGUAGGGAAUCUUCCGCAAUGGGCGAAAGCCUGACGGAGCAACGCCGCGUGAGUUAUGAAGGUCUUCCGAUCGUAAAACUCUGUUAUUAGGGAAGAACAAAUGUGUAAGUAACUAUGCACGUCUGGACGGUACCUAAUCAGAAAGCCACGGCUAACUACGUG
rnacentral:rRNA from 1 species